AGCGGAGGAAAAGAAACCACCAGGGAUUGCCCUAGUAACGGCGAGUGAACAGGCAAGAGCUCAGAUUUGAAAGGCACUUUUGUGCCGUUGUAUUCUGAAGUUAGGGUCCUGAGAAACGAUGCUUAAGUCUUCUGGAAAGGAGCGCCAUGGAGGGUGAUAGCCCCGUCUAGCAUUGACCUCAUAUAGGAUCUUAACAUGGAGUCGAGUUGUUUGGGAAUGCAGCUCAAAUGGGUGGUAUGCUCCAUCUAAAGCUAAAUAUCUGCGAGAGACCGAUAGUAAACAAGUACUGUGAGGGAAAGAUGAAAAGAACUUUGAAAAGAGAGUGAAAAAGUACGUGAAAUUGUUGAAAUGGAAGGGUAGGCCGCUAACCAUGUAGAGCCGUGUUUGGGGGGAAGAUAAAUGCUGUAGAAUGUAGCUCCUCGGAGUAUUAUAGAUGCAGUUCAUAUUCCCACCCGAGCGCGAGGAUCUCAGGUUCUACUAAAUGGUGGUCUACCACCCGUCUUGAAC
rnacentral:rRNA from 1 species